rnacentral:rRNA from 1 species
GACGAACGCUGGCGGCGUGCUUAACACAUGCAAGUCGAACGGAAAGGCCCUGCUUUUGUGGGUUGCUCGUUUGGCGAACAGGGGAGUAACACGUGAGUAACCUGCCCUUGACUUUGGGAUAACUUCUGGAAACUGGGGCUAAUACCGGAUAGGAUCUCCUGCUGCAUGUUGGGGGUUGGAAAGUUUCGGCGGUUGGGGCUGGACUCGCGGCUUAUCAGCUUAUUUGUGGGGUAGUGGCUUACCAAGGCUUUGACGGGUAGCCCGCCUGGGAGGGUGACCGGCGACAUUGGGACUGAGAUACGGCCCAGACGCGUACGGGAGGCAGCAGUGGGGAAUAUUGCACAGUGGGCGGAAGCCAGAUGCAGCAGCGCCGCGUGCGGGAUGCCGGCCUUCGGGUUGUAAACCGCUUUCGCCUGUGACGAAGCGUGAGUGACGGUAAUGGGUAAGGAAGCACCGGCUAACUACGUG